AAGACCUUGCGCUUUUGGAGCGGCCGAUGCCUGAUUAGCUUGUUGGUAAGGUAAAAGCUUACCAAGGCUUCGAUCAGUAGCUGGUCUGAGAGGACGACCAGCCACACUGGGACUGAGACACGGCCCAGACUCCUACGGGAGGCAGCAGUGGGGAAUUUUGGACAAUGGGGGCAACCCUGAUCCAGCCAUGCCGCGUGAGUGAAGAAGGCCUUCGGGUUGUAAAGCUCUUUCAGCCGGAACGGAACGGUUACGGAUAACACCCGUGACUACUGACGGUACCGGAAGAAGAAGCACCGGCUAACUACGUGCCAGCAGCCGCGGUAAUACGUAGGGUGCGAGCGUUAAUCGGAAUUACUGGGCGUAAAGCGUGCGCAGGUGGUUUUGUAAGUCAGGUGUGAAAGCCCCGGGCUCAACCUGGGAACU
rnacentral:rRNA from 1 species